UAUUCUGUGCCUUAGUUGGAUGAAGCGCCAGACUAGCGAUACGGAGUCGUGGGUUCAAAUCCCACCAAAACAA
rnacentral:tRNA from 1 species